rnacentral:rRNA from 1 species
AGCAGCCGCGGUAAUUCCAGCUCCAAUAGCGUAUAUUAAAGUUGUUGCAGUUAAAAAGCUCGUAGUUGAAUUUCGGGAUCAGUACGCUGGUCGUGCCUUUGGUAUGUACUGGUGUCACUGAUUCCUCCCUUCUGAAGAACCGUUAUGCCAUUUAUUUGGUGUGGCGGGGAAUCAGGACUGUUACUUUGAAAAAUUAGAGUGUUUAAAGCAGGCUCGCGCUUGAAUACAUUAGCAUGGAAUAAUGAAAUAGGACGUUUUAUCUUAUUUUGUUGGUUUCUAGGAUCGACGUAAUGAUUAAUAGGGAUAGUUGGGGGCAUUAGUAUUCAAUUGUCAGAGGUGAAAUUCUUGGAUUUAUUGAAGACUAACUACUGCGAAAGCAUUUGCCAAGGAUGUUUUCAUUAAUCAAGAACGAAAGUUAGGGGAUCGAAGACGAUCAGAUACCGUCGUAGUCUUAACCAUAAACUAUGCCGACU